GGAAAAGAAACCAACAGGGAUUGCCUCAGUAACGGCGAGUGAAGCGGCAAAAGCUCAAAUUUGAAAUCUAGCACUUUCAGUGUUCGAGUUGUAAUUUGAAGAAGGUAACUUUGGUUUUGGCUCUUGUCUAUGUUCCUUGGAACAGGACGUCACAGAGGGUGAGAAUCCCGUGCGAUGAGAUGCCCAAUUCCAUGUAAAGUGCUUUCGAAGAGUCGAGUUGUUUGGGAAUGCAGCUCUAAGUGGGUGGUAAAUUCCAUCUAAAGCUAAAUAUUGGCGAGAGACCGAUAGCGAACAAGUACAGUGAUGGAAAGAUGAAAAGAACUUUGAAAAGAGAGUGAAAAAGUACGUGAAAUUGUUGAAAGGGAAGGGCUUGAGAUCAGACUUGGUAUUUUGCGUUCCCUUCCUUUUUGGUUGGGUUCCUCGCAGUUUACUGGGCCAGCAUCGGUUUGGAUGGUAGGAUAAUGACAUUGGAAUGUAGCUUUACUUCGGUGAAGUGUUAUAGACUUUGUUGAUACUGCCUAUCUAGACCGAGGACUGCGUCUUUGACUAGGAUGCUGGCGUAAUGAUCUUAAGCCGCCCGUC
rnacentral:rRNA from 1 species